rnacentral:lncRNA from 1 species
UGCCAAAGAUGGCCAGGUAUAGGCGGGAGCCUCUUGCUCUACAUUAACCUAUGGACACACGAGACUAUGUGAGACUACAAACACCAGACAUGGAAUGGCAUUCAUCACGCUACACUAAAAAUCAACUGAAUCUGUUCAAAAAAAAAUCAACUGAAUCGGCAAGAGUACAUCAUUAGAACAGAGGCAGCUCCGGCAGAAGCUCGGCAUCACUCAUACUCAUACUCAUACAGGGGGCAAUCCAGGCGAUGCUGGGGGAUUCAGAUUCAGACUAAUAUGUACACCAAGGAAAACUGCAGAGCACACACAAAUUGCUCACUAGCUCACACACNNN